rnacentral:lncRNA from 1 species
CCUUAUAACUCACUCAUGUCGAAUUUUAUCUUUAUAAGGUCGGACAAACUAGUCUUACUGAACUUCCAUUCUCAAAAUACAAAAGCACAAGCAAAGAAACUUACCCUAGAGGCUAGCGAUCCUAAGACCAAACUUCAAAAAACUCUCUCUGAGAAGAAGCAUAGAGUAGGGGGAGUUUUAACCUCUUUAAGCUCUAGAACUUUUGCCUCCUCUUCGAAUGAAAGAUGGUAAAAACUCAAAGCAUUCUUGCUCGACGAUUCCCACCAAGUCAGAAGGCUCCACAAAUCUGAUGAUGAAACAAAAAAAAAUUAUCCCUUCCAAA